rnacentral:lncRNA from 1 species
GCGCUGUGCUGAGUACUUUACGAGCCCUCAAACUUUACAGGUCGGUUACAUGAGUUUAUCAAGUCACCCAGCGAGUUAAAUGACUUAGUGGGAAUUUGAAGCCAAGUAUCCCUGAGUGUGAGCGGUUAAACGUUAUGUUAGUGGUCACCUUGGAAUCAGAAGUCCAGAUCCAUCUACAAAACAGUGUUUGUUUGAGGACUGUAUUUUUCACGUUGCCCUGUGACUGACACACAGUAGGCACUUGGUAAAUAAUGGUGAAAUGAAUGGGUAUCUGAAGAAACGAUUAACAGAACCACCCAUGAUUUUAGAGAAAACGGCCCCAACCACUGCUCCUUCUAAGAGGACUAUUUUAAUAAAAUCUCUAGCUGUUUUGUGACUGUUUGCAGAUAACAGGAAACUCUUAUUCAAAAAUACAUUAACUUCCCACUCCACCCCUCCCCCCAACCAAUCAGCCUGGCAGCAUUUGAACUUGCUGGGGCAUAUACCCAAAGCAGCUUUUACUUGAUCUCAGCCAUUUCCCCCCACCCUUCUCUUUAGGCUUCUGCUCAGGAUCAGGCAUAUCUGAACAUAUCACAGGAAAGGAGGACCACAUAAGGAACACCAUGAUCGUGCAUCUGUGCAGCUUGUUCCAGAGUCCCAGCCCUCACCAGCUGUGAGGUCACAUCUCUUGGAAAGCAGUCAUCUACCUCAACCAAAAGCUUGGAGAUGGCUUGGCAGUAGGACCACAUCUGCCAUUUGAACAGCCUACUGUUGGUGCUGUGGGCUGUCUGGCUCCUUCCAGUGGUCCAAGAGAAGAUGCGAUUUUUAAAAAUGCGUAUAUUCAGAUCCUUGAGAGCUCCUCAUGGAACAAUGGAACCCACCCUCCCCAAACUCGCCUCCUCCAUCUGAUCAUGCCACCCACUGCCUUGAAUCCUUGAAGCAGCAAGAAGAGGAGAGACAAGGGGAGAAAAGGACACCCCCAUCCAACUGAGUCAGCCUCCUUUAUAAAGAUUUUUCAGAAGUCCCACCCCGUGAUUUCUACUCGUGUCUCAUUGGCCAGUUGGCCACCUCUUCCUGCAAGGGAGGUCGAGUAAUGCUACUGCUUAGCUUGAGGCCAUUGCGGCCUCCAGUUACUAAGGAAUUGGGGGGAUGGAUGCUGGGGUGGGCAACCAGCCCCCUUAGCUCAUAUACCUGCAGAGAAUGUGAUGGAC